rnacentral:tRNA from 1 species
GUCUCUGUAGCUUAAAAUACUUAAAGCAUUG